rnacentral:RNase_P_RNA from 1 species
AAGGUACUAUGCCUUAUUGCUCUUUUAGAUAAAAAGAGAGGAAAGUCCGGGCACCACAGACCACCAUGCUUCUGAAAUAGAAGGAUUUUUAUCAGUAAUGAUAAAAAUACAGAAAGUGCCACAGAAAAUAUACCGCCAUUAAAUUUUAUUUAAUGGUAAGGGUGAAAAUGUGAGGUAAGAGCUCACACAUAUUAUCUGGGAACAGAUAUAUGCGGUAAACCUCUUGGGGUGCAAGACCGUGUAAACCAGCAUCAGAGACUAGGUCGGUCGAGCUGGAGGGUGGGUCGCUUAUGCUUAUUGGUGACAAUGAGCUUAGAUAAAUAAUAAGGCUAUGCUACUGCAUAGACAAAACCUGGCUUAUAAUAGUACCUUUUUU